AUCGGAAGGUAAAGGACUGGCGCAGAAUCUUUAGGCUGUGUAAAAGUCUGAAAUAUGUGAUCACGAGGCAGAUGAAAGAUUGUGUUUUUACUUGUUGUCAUGUGGGAUGUGGCGUGCUCACUCCUCAUCUGUUACUGCUAAUGUGUUGUCUUUAUGCUUCCUGCCGGUACACACAUUGAUACACAUUGGGCCUUCAACAUCCGGAAGGACGUCGUUGUAAGGAAGGACGUCAAGCCGUGGGCUUUUUCCAUGCUGGAUUUUUAAAAGGCGGCCUGUGUACCUGUUUGCCGAGAUGAGCGUUGGACGGCUGGCAGGAUCUACGGAUCGGAUAGCCAAGUGAUACAACCCCUCAAAGCGGUUCAACACUACAUCUCAUCAUUCAUCCAUUCAACACUGCUGACAGGAGCGAGCAAGCAAGCCCCCCAGAGGAGAAUCGGCCCCUGAGGGUCUGAAACCCGCCCACAAGCCUACACCUCAUCCUCUUCCUCCCUGUGGUGAGCCGGAGGCCCCUGAAGGAAAAAAAGAAAGCGUUGAUGGCGUUGGCCGGGUACUUGUGACAGCGAGUGCCUACCUCGGGGGAGGUCAGAAGUCAGUGAUUCAUACGAGACAAGCUGGCGAUGCAGUGUAACCGAAAAUGGAAAGCAGAUGUUCGUUAAUUAGGGGAAAUGUGACUGACAAGACUUGAGCGUUGAGGUACAUGAGCUCGCCCGCCAUCCAGCAGCUGUUGUUCCCCGACUUCAUUGUCAGUCUUGUACACAAGUCACAGCUUCCCCGCCGAGCUGGGCCCAGACGCCCAGCACCCACAAUUAUCAAAAUAGAAUUAAGCUUGAUUGAAUCGAACAGAUUUUCUUCUAAAUACUUUUGCUGUGUUUUUUUUGUGUGAAUGAAUGCGAUACUCAAACCACCUUGUGUGUUUUUUUUUGCUUCCUCGUCCCUCAUUUCCGCUCCUCUUUUUCUUCAGCCUU
ensembl:lncRNA